ACAGCCAUACCACCCUGUACACACCUGAGCUCCUCUCAUCUUGGAAGCUCAACAGGGUCAGGCCUGGUUAAUACCCAAGUGUUUAUAGAUUUACUUAUAAGUUGAUGCAUAAGGUAGCUAUGUGUA
rnacentral:rRNA from 1 species